CGGGAAGCCCGAGCGGGGAGGCGCGGACCGUCUCCUCCUGCAAGGCCAGGACGACGCUCCCCCCCCCCCCGCCAACGUCUAUCUCAAAGCUCGCGCACACACGGAGAGUGUGCAGCAUUUUUACCCCUCUGGAGAAAAAACGGGGAGUGUAAAAGAAGAGAGGGCAAAGCCAAGAACUCCUCCUCGGUGUGCUCUCCACUCCGUGCCGCGGUUGGGCGCGGGGACGCCGCUGCCACCCGCCCGCUCUCUCCCGGCCCUGCAGCGUGUGCCAGUGGGAGCGCGAGCUAGGGCAGCGGCUCUCGGGGACGCCGGGAGACUUUUAGGUGCUCGAGCAGACCUCGCCACCGCCGCGGCAGGCAGAAGAGGCAGGGGCGACAAGAGCCCGGCCUCCGCCUCGCCUUCCUCGGCCGGCGCCCCGCGCCCGGCCGGCCCGCGCAGGCAGGCGGAGGGAGAGGGAGGCGGCGAGGAGGCGGGCAGAGCAGAGGCCCCGGAGAAGCUCGCAGCGUCCGGCCCGCCCGCUGCCCGCCCGUGGAUGCGGCGCCCCGGGAGCCUGGAGACAACUUUGCCGUGUGACGCGCCGAGAGGACUGCAGGGCCCGCGGCCGAGAGCUCAGCAGCGCCCGUGAGCUGGCCCGCGCGGCCGGUGCUCCCCAACACCGCGCUCGCUCCGCGCCGCC
rnacentral:lncRNA from 1 species